rnacentral:rRNA from 1 species
AAUGAACGCUAGCUACAGGCUUAACACAUGCAAGUCGAGAGGUAACGAGAGGAAAGCUUGCUUUCCUUGUCGACGACCGGCGCACGGGUGAGUAACGCGUAUCCAACCUGCCCCCAACUAGGGAAUAACCUUGCGAAAGUAAGACUAAUACCCUAUAAUUUCCUCAGAUGUCAUCUGACGAGGAAUAAAGAUUUACCGGUUGUGGAUGGGGAUGCGUCUGAUUAGCUUGUUGGCGGGGUAACGGCCCACCAAGGCAACGAUCAGUAGGGGUUCUGAGAGGAAGGUCCCCCACAUUGGAACUGAGACACGGUCCAAACUCCUACGGGAGGCAGCAGUGAGGAAUAUUGGUCAAUGGGCGGAAGCCUGAACCAGCCAAGUAGCGUGCAGGAUGACGGCCCUAUGGGUUGUAAACUGCUUUUAUACAGGAAUAAAGUUAGCCACGUGUGGUUAUUUGUAGGUACUGUAUGAAUAAGGACCGGCUAAUUCCGUGCCAGCCGCCGCGGUAA